GAUGAACGCUGGCGGCGUGCCUAAUACAUGCAAGUCGAGCGAACGGACGAGAAGCUUGCUUCUCCGAUGUUAGCGGCGGACGGGUGAGUAACACGUGGAUAACCUACCUAUAAGACUGGGAUAACUUCGGGAAACCGGAGCUAAUACCCGAUAAUAUUUUGAACCGUCUGGUUCAAAAGUGAAAGACGGUCUUGCUGUUACUUAUAGCUGGAUCCGCGCUGCAUUAUCUAGUUGGUAAGGUAACGGCUUACCAAGGCAACGAUGCAUAGCCGACCUGGGAGGGUGAUCAGCCACACUGGAACUGAGACACGGUCCAGACUCCUACGGGAGGCAGCAGUAGGGAAUCUUCCGCAAUGGGCGAAAGCCUGACGGAGCAACGCCGCGUGAGUGAUGAAGGUCGUCGGAUCGUAAAACUCUGUUAUUAGGGAAGAACAUAUGUGUAAGUAACUGUGCACAUCUUGACGGUACCUAAUCAGAAAGCCACGGCUAACUACGUG
rnacentral:rRNA from 1 species